rnacentral:rRNA from 1 species
GUGUCAGCCGCCGCGGUAAUACGGAGGGUGCGAGCGUUGUUCGGAAUUAUUGGGCGUAAAGCGCGUGUAGGCGGUCCGUUAAGUCUGAUGUGAAAGCCCAGGGCUCAACCCUGGAAGUGCAUUGGAAACUGGCGGACUUGAGUACGGGAGAGGGAAGUGGAAUUCCGAGUGUAGGGGUGAAAUCCGUAGAUAUUCGGAGGAACACCAGUGGCGAGGGCGGCUUCCUGGACCGAUACUGACGCUGAGACGCGAAGGCGUGGGGAGCAAACAGGAUUAGAUACCCUGGUAGUCCACGCCGUAAACGAUGGAUGCUAGACGUUGGGUAGUAUACUGCUCAGUGGCGCAGCUAACGCAUUAAGUACCCCGCCUGGGGAGUACGGUCGCAAGAUUAAAACUUAAAGGAAUUGACGGGG